rnacentral:rRNA from 1 species
UACGAAGGGGGCUAGCGUUGUUCGGAAUCACUGGGCGUAAAGCGCACGUAGGCGGAUCUUUAAGUCAGGGGUGAAAUCCCGAGGCUCAACCUCGGAACUGCCUUUGAUACUGGGGAUCUCGAGUCCGGAAGAGGUAAGUGGAACUGCGAGUGUAGAGGUGAAAUUCGUAGAUAUUCGCAAGAACACCAGUGGCGAAGGCGGCUCACUGGCCCGGUACUGACGCUGAGGUGCGAAAGCGUGGGGAGCAAACAGG